rnacentral:rRNA from 1 species
GGUGAGUAAUGCCUAGGAGAUUGCCUUGAUGUGGGGGAUAACCAUUGCCAACGAUGGCUAAUACCGCAUGAUGCCUAAGGGUCAAAGAGGGGGAUCUUCGAUCCUCUCGCGUCGAGAUAUGCCUAUGUGGGAUUAGCUAGUUGGUGAGGUAAUGACUCACCACGGCGACGAUCCCUAGCUGGUCUGAGAGGAUGAUCAGCCACACUGGAAAUGACACCCGGUCCAGACUCCUACGGGAGGCAGCAGUGGGGAAUAUUGCACAUUGGGCGAUAGCCUGAGGCAGCCAUGCCGCGUGUAUUUAGAAAGCCUUCUGAUUGUAAAGUACUUG